rnacentral:rRNA from 1 species
AGUGGCGAACGGGUGAGUAAAGUAUCGGAACGUGCCCAGUCGUGGGGGAUAACGUAGCGAAAGUUACGCUAAUACCGCAUACGAUCUAUGGAUGAAAGCGGGGGAUCGCAAGACCUCGCGCGAUUGGAGCGGCCGAUAUCAGAUUAGGUAGUUGGUGGGGUAAAGGCUCACCAAGCCGACGAUCUGUAGCUGGUCUGAGAGGACGACCAGCCACACUGGGACUGAGACACGGCCCACACUCCUACGGGAGGCAGCAGUGGGGAAUUUUGGACAAUGGGCGCAAGCCUGAUCCAGCCAUGCCGCGUGCAGGAUGAAGGCCUUCGGGUUGUAAACUGCUUUUGUACGGAACGAAAAGGUUUGGCCUAAUAAGCUGAGCUCAUGACGGUACCGUAAGAAUAAGCACCGGCUAACUACGUGCCAGCAGCCGCGGUAAUUCGUAGGGUGCGAGCGUUAAUCGGAAUUACUGGGCGUAAAGCGUGCGCAGGCUGUUAUGAAAGACAGAUGUGACAUCCCCGGGCUCAACCUGGGAACUGCAUUAGUGACUGCAUAGCUGGAGUACGGCAGAGGGGGAUGGAAUUCCGCGUGUAGCAGUGAAAUGCGUAUAUAUGCGGAGGAACACCGAUGGCGAAGGCUACUCCUCCUGUGUCUUGUACUGACGCUCAUGCACGAAGCGUGAG